UCCGUCCGUGUCAUGGGGUGACUGGGAUACUCAAUGAACGUUUAGUGAGAGUCUCCUUGCUGACACCAUAUCAACACACUCGCGCCUCCCGAGUCACAGACUCGGGUACUGGUGCAAUUUUUGGAAAC